UUCUUUACAGUUAUUUUUUAAAGUAAGGCCUGCCCACUGUUUUAUAAAGGGCCGCGGUAUUUUGACCGUGCAAAGGUAGCAUAAUCAUUAGUCCCUUAAUUAGGGAAUGGAAUGAAUGGCUAAACGUAGUUUUGCUUUAUUUGUAAAAGUUGUUGAAUUUAAAUUCUAAGUGAAAAUGCUUAGGUUAGCUGAUAGACGAUAAGACCCUAUAGAUUUUUAUUUUAGGCUGGUUUGAUUUGUUAGAGUUUUAUUCAAAAUAAGUUUAAAAAUUUUGUUGGGGCAACAAAAGAAUAUAAUUAACUUCUUUCGUUUAAUUUUUAUUAAAUUGUUAAUCUUUUAGUAAAAAAGUUAAAAAAAGUUACCUUAGGGAUAACAGCGUAAUUAAAAUUGAGAGCCCGUAUCGACAUUUUAGUUUGCGACCUCGAUGUUGAAUUAAGAUUUCUGAAUGGGGCAGCAUCUGUUGAAGAUAGUCUGUUCGACUAAAAAUUUCUUACA
rnacentral:rRNA from 1 species